UACGUAGGGUGCGAGCGUUGUCCGGAAUUAUUGGGCGUAAAGAGCUUGUAGGCGGUCUGUCGCGUCUGCCGUGAAAUUUCGAGGCUCAACCUCGAACUUGCGGUGGGUACGGGCAGACUAGAGUGUGGUAGGGGAGACUGGAAUUCCUGGUGUAGCGGUGAAAUGCGCAGAUAUCAGGAGGAACACCGAUGGCGAAGGCAGGUCUCUGGGCCACUACUGACGCUGAGAAGCGAAAGCAUGGGGAGCGAACAGG
rnacentral:rRNA from 1 species